rnacentral:rRNA from 1 species
AGUGAACGCUGGCGGUAGGCCUAACACAUGCAAGUCGAACGGCAGCACAGUAAGAGCUUGCUCUUACGGGUGGCGAGUGGCGGACGGGUGAGGAAUACAUCGGAAUCUACUUUUUCGUGGGGGAUAACGUAGGGAAACUUACGCUAAUACCGCAUACGACCUACGGGUGAAAGCAGGAGAUCUUCGGACCUUGCGCGAUUGAAUGAGCCGAUGUCGGAUUAGCUAGUUGGCGGGGUAAAGGCCCACCAAGGCGACGAUCCGUAGCUGGUCUGAGAGGAUGAUCAGCCACACUGGAACUGAGACACGGUCCAGACUCCUACGGGAGGCAGCAGUGGGGAAUAUUGGACAAUGGGCGCAAGCCUGAUCCAGCAAUACCGCGUGGGUGAAGAAGGCCUUCGGGUUGUAAAGCCCUUUUGUUGGGAAAGAACAGCAGUAGGUUAAUACCCCGCUGUUCUGACGGUACCCAAAGAAUAAGCACCGGCUAACUUCGUG